GGCCUAUACGCCAUAUAUAU
rnacentral:siRNA from 1 species